rnacentral:rRNA from 1 species
AGAGUUUGAUCAUGGCUCAGAACGAACGCUGGCGGCGUGCUUAACACAUGCAAGUCGAGUGCGCGCCUGUAGCAAUACAGGUGGCGCACGGCGCACGGGUGCGUAACACGUGGGUAAUCUGCCCUCUGAUGGGGAAUAACUCGCCGAAAGGCGAGCUAAUUCCGCAUAAUAUUCCGAGAACUUUGGUUUUUGGACUGAAAGGCGUAAGUCGUCGGAGGAGGAGCCCGCGCACGAUUAGCUAGUUGGUAGGGUAAUGGCCUACCAAGGCUUUGAUCGUUAGCUGGUCUGAGAGGAUGGCCAGCCACACUGGAACUGAGACACGGUCCAGACUCCUACGGGAGGCAGCAGUGGGGAAUCUUGCACAAUGGGCGAAAGCCUGAUGCAGCGACGCCGCGUGGGGGAUGAAGCAUUUCGGUGUGUAAACCCCUUUCGAUCCGGACGAAUGCCUCGCAAGAGGAUUGACGGUACGGAUAUAAGAAGCCCCGGCUAACUACGUGCCAGCAGCCGCGGUAAGACGUAGGGGGCCAGCGUUGUUCGGAAUUACUGGGUGUAAAGGGUUCGUAGGCGGUGCGGCAAGUUGGGAGUGAAAUCUCUGGGCUCAACCCAGAGGCUGCUUCCAAAACUGCUGUGCUUGAGUGUGAGAGAGGCUCGUGGAAUUGCAGGUGUAGCGGUGAAAUGCGUAGAUAUCUGCAGGAACACCCGUGGCGAAAGCGGCGAGCUGGAUCACUACUGACGCUGAGGAACGAAAGCUAGGGGAGCAAACAGGAUUAGAUACCCUAGUAGUCC